GAUGAAGAACGUAGCGAAAUGCGAUAAGUAAUGUGAAUUGCAGAAUUCAGUGAAUCAUCGAAUCUUUGAACGCACAUUGCGCCCUCUGGUAUUCCGGAGGGCAUGCCUGUUCGAGCGUCAUUAAAACUACUCAAGCUAAGGUUUUACCUUCUGCUUGGUCUUGGGUUUGAGGAUUCAAAAUCCUCUCUCCGAAAUCCAGUGGCGAAUUGUUUGAGCUGUAGACGUAGUAAAUCAUUCUACCCGUUGCAAGCGAGAAUAAUAUUCAGCCAUAACCCCCAUACUUUUCUAGUUUGACCUCGGAUCAGGUAGGGAUACCCGCUGAACUUAAGCAUAUCAAUAAGCGGAGGA
rnacentral:misc_RNA from 1 species